ACACAUGCAGUCGAGCGGGGAGAUGUAGCUAGCUACAUUUCCUAGCGGCGGACGGGUGAGUAAAGCUUAGGAAUCUGCCUAUUAGUGGGGGGCAACAUUCCGAAAGGAAUGCUAAUACCGCAUACGCCCUACGGGGGAAAGCAGGGGAUCUUCGGACCUUGCGCUAAUAGAUGAGCCUAAGUCAGAUUAGCUAGUUGGUGGGGUAAAGGCCUACCAAGGCGACGAUCUGUAGCGGGUCUGGGAGGAUGAUCCGCCACACUGGGACUGAGACACGGCCCAGACUCCUACGGGAGGCAGCAGUGGGGAAUAUUGGACAAUGGGCGAAAGCCUGAUCCAGCCAUGCCGCGUGUGUGAAGAAGGCCUUUUGGUUGUAAAGCACUUUAAGCGAGGAGGAGGCUACUUAGAUUAAUACUCUAGGAUAGUGGACGUUACUCGCAGAAUAAGCACCGGCUAACUCUGUGCCAGCAGCCGCGGUAAUACAGAGGGUGCGAGCGUUAAUCGGAUUUACUGGGCGUAAAGCGUGCGUAGGCGGCUUUUUAAGUCGGAUGUGAAAUCCCUGAGCUUAACUUAGGAAUUGCAUUCGAUACUGGGAAGCUAGAGUAUGGGAGAGGAUGGUAGAAUUCCAGGUGUAGCGGUGAAAUGCGUAGAGAUCUGGAGGAAUACCGAUGGCGAAGGCAGCCAUCUGGCCUAAUACUGAAGCUGAGGUACGAAAGCAUGGGGAGCAAACAGGAUUAGAUACCCUGGUAGUCCAUGCCGUAAACGAUGUCUACUAGCCGUUGGGGCCUUUGAGGCUUUAGUGGCGCAGCUAACGCGAUAAGUAGACCGCCUGGGGGAGUACGGUCGCAAGACUA
rnacentral:rRNA from 1 species